UUGAACGCUGGCGGCAGGCCUAACACAUGCAAGUCGAGCGGUAACACAGAGAGCUUGCUCUCGGGUGACGAGCGGCGGACGGGUGAGUAAUGUCUGGGAAACUGCCUGAUGGAGGGGGAUAACUACUGGAAACGGUAGCUAAUACCGCAUAACGUCGCAAGACCAAAGUGGGGGACCUUCGGGCCUCAUGCCAUCAGAUGUGCCCAGAUGGGAUUAGCUAGUAGGUGGGGUAACGGCUCACCUAGGCGACGAUCCCUAGCUGGUCUGAGAGGAUGACCAGCCACACUGGAACUGAGACACGGUCCAGACUCCUACGGGAGGCAGCAGUGGGGAAUAUUGCACAAUGGGCGCAAGCCUGAUGCAGCCAUGCCGCGUGUGUGAAGAAGGCCUUCGGGUUGUAAAGCACUUUCAGCGGGGAGGAAGGCGGUGAGGUUAAUAACCUCAUCGAUUGACGUUACCCGCAGAAGAAGCACCGGCUAACUCCGUGCCAGCAGCCGCGGUAAUACGGAGGGUGCAAGCGUUAAUCGGAAUUACUGGGCGUAAAGCGCACGCAGGCGGUCUGUCAAGUCGGAUGUGAAAUCCCCGGGCUCAACCUGGGAACUGCAUUCGAAACUGGCAGGCUAGAGUCUUGUAGAGGGGGGUAGAAUUCCAGGUGUAGCGGUGAAAUGCGUAGAGAUCUGGAGGAAUACCGGUGGCGAAGGCGGCCCCCUGGACAAAGACUGACGCUCAGGUGCGAAAGCGUGGGGAGCAAACAGGAUUAGAUACCCUGGUAGUCCACGCCGUAAACGAUGUCGAUUUGGAGGUUGUGCCCUUGAGGCGUGGCUUCCGGAGCUAACGCGUUAAAUCGACCGCCUGGGGAGUACGGCCGCAAGGUUAAAACUCAAAUGAAUUGACGGGGGCCCGCACAAGCGGUGGAGCAUGUGGUUUAAUUCGAUGCUACGCGAAGAACCUUACCUGGUCUUGACAUCCACAGAACUUUCCAGAGAUGGAUUGGUGCCUUCGGGAACUGUGAGACAGGUGCUGCAUGGCUGUCGUCAGCUCGUGUUGUGAAAUGUUGGGUUAAGUCCCGCAACGAGCGCAACCCUUAUCCUUUGUUGCCAGCGGUUAGGCCGGGAACUCAAAGGAGACUGCCAGUGAUAAACUGGAGGAAGGUGGGGAUGACGUCAAGUCAUCAUGGCCCUUACGACCAGGGCUACACACGUGCUACAAUGGCAUAUACAAAGAGAAGCGACCUCGCGAGAGCAAGCGGACCUCAUAAAGUAUGUCGUAGUCCGGAUUGGAGUCUGCAACUCGACUCCAUGAAGUCGGAAUCGCUAGUAAUCGUAGAUCAGAAUGCUACGGUGAAUACGUUCCCGGGCCUUGUACACACCGCCCGUCACACCAUGGGAGUGGGUUGCAAAAGAAGUAGGUAGCUUAACCUUCGGGAGGGCGCUUACCACUUUGUGAUUCAUGACUGGGGUG
rnacentral:rRNA from 1 species